GCCUCUUUAGCACAGUGGUAGUGCGUCGGUCUUGUAAACCGAAGGUCCCGAGUUCAAUCCUCGGAGGAGGCA
rfam:Catenaria anguillulae PL171 BCR44scaffold_414, whole genome shotgun sequence.